GAUGAACGCUGGCGGCGUGCCUAAUACAUGCAAGUCGAGCGAACAGACGAGGAGCUUGCUCCUCUGACGUUAGCGGCGGACGGGUGAGUAACACGUGGAUAACCUACCUAUAAGACUGGGAUAACUUCGGGAAACCGGAGCUAAUACCGGAUAAUAUAUUGAACCGCAUGGUUCAAUAGUGAAAGACGGUUUUGCUGUCACUUAUAGAUGGAUCCGCGCCGCAUUAGCUAGUUGGUAAGGUAACGGCUUACCAAGGCAGCGAUGCGUAGCCGACCUGUGAGGGUGAUCGGCCACACUGGAACUGAAACACGGUCCAGACUCCUACGGGAGGCAGCAUUAGGGAAUCUUCCGCAAUGGGCGAAAGCCUGACGGAGCAACGCCGCGUGAGUGAUGAUGGUCUUCGGAUCGUAAAACUCUGUUAUUAGGGAAGAACAAUUGUGUAAGUAACUAUGCACGUCUUGACGGUACCUAAUCAGAAAGCCACGGCUAACUACGUG
rnacentral:rRNA from 1 species